rnacentral:lncRNA from 1 species
CUUUCCUAAAUCAUAGGGACUGAUUUGAAACAUAUCUCUUUCUGUUCAUUAGAAUAUAACUCUUGUUAGGGAGGUCAGGAAGCAAAAUGGGAAUGAAGAGUUUAAAAUUAAACAUUAGGAAACUGUUUAAGAAGACUCAUUAUAAAUGAAGGUACAACUCUCUCAGAAAUUACAAGUACUGAGCCUAUGAUCCUAUGUGUAGACUGCUUCCCUCUCCUCAGGAUGAACUAGUACUGAACAAGUAGAAGAUGCCUUCCUGACAGAAGAUCCGGACAGACCUUUAUAAUAUACAUGCCUUGAGAAAAUAGUUUGAUUAUUCUCAACAGAAGGGAAAGACGUAACCUUUAAUUUUGGCAGUUUGCUUUCAACCAUGAGG